rnacentral:rRNA from 1 species
UACAGAGGGUGCGAGCGUUAAUCGGAAUUACUGGGCGUAAAGCGUGCGUAGACGGUUAUUUAAGUCGGGUGUGAAAUCCCCGGGCUCAACCUGGGAAUGGCAUUUGUGACUGCCCGGCUAGAGUGUGUCAGAGGGGGGUAGAAUUCCACGUGUAGCAGUGAAAUGCGUAGAGAUGUGGAGGAAUACCGAUGGCGAAGGCAGCCCCCUGGGAUAACACUGACGCUCAUGCACGAAAGCGUGGGGAGCAAACAGG